rnacentral:rRNA from 1 species
AGUGAACGCUGGCGGUAGGCCUAACACAUGCAAGUCGAACGGCAGCACAGUAAGAGCUUGCCCUUACGGGUGGCGAGUGGCGGACGGGUGCGGAAUACUUCGGAAUCUACUUUUUCGUGGGGGAUAACGUAGGGAAACUUACGCUAAUACUGCAUACGACCUACGGGUGAAAGCAGGGGAUCUUCGGACCUUGCGCGAUUGAAUGAGCCGAUGUCGGAUUAGCUAGUUGGCGGGGUAAAGGCCCACCAAGGCGACGAUCCGUAGCUGGUCUGAGAGGAUGAUCAGCCACACUGGAACUGAGACACGGUCCAGACUCCUACGGGAGGCAGCAGUGGGGAAUAUUGGACAAUGGGCGCAAGCCUGAUCCAGCCAUACCGCGUGGGUGAAGAAGGCCUUCGGGUUGUAAAGCCCUUUUGUUGGGAAAGAAAAGCAGCAGGUUAAUACCCCGCUGUUCUGACGGUACCCAAAGAAUAAGCACCGGCUAACUUCGUG